rnacentral:misc_RNA from 1 species
UACAGAGGGUGCGAGCGUUAAUCGGAUUUACUGGGCGUAAGGCGUGCGUAGGCGGCUUUUUAAGUCGGAUGUGAAAUCCCCGAGCUUAACUUGGGAAUUGCAUUCGAUACUGGGAAGCUAGAGUAUGGGAGAGGAUGGUAGAACUCCAGGUGUAGCGGUGAAAUGCGUAGAGAUCUGGAGGAAUACCGAUGGCGAAGGCAGCCAUCUGGCCUAAUACUGACGCUGAGGUACGAAAGCGUGGGUCGCGAAUGGG